AUCACGCGUGUUCUCACUUUCACUUUCACUUUCACUCUCGAUGCUCUAAAACGGUGAAACCACCUCUCCAUCCUCUUCAAUUUCUUGCUCCGCGUCUUCAAUCUCUCGAUCCCCUCAUCGAUCUCAUCACAGUUCACUUUUAGCUAUUUGAAUUCAACUCUCAAUCCUCCUCAAUAACUUGCUCCGCCUCUUCGAUCUCACCUCCGCCACUAUCACCAAAGUUGUCGUUGCCGCUGCCGCCACCGUCAUCGAAGCCACCAUUGCCGGCGUAGUCACCAGGAUUGUGAUGAUAGACAAGGAUAUCUCAAAUUCAAAAUGAGAUCUAUGUUCUCGGAUCUGAAUUGAAAAUUCUCAAGGAUUAUGUUACAACAAGAUGGAACAGAGCACCGGAGCUUUGUGGAUCAUUUUACUCAAAGAUUAAUGAAAGCACAAGCACUUGGAGACAGUUCUAGUUUAGAGUUUAUGAGGGGUAGGAAAAUUUUGGAGGUUAAUCCAGAUCAUCCUAUCAUCAAAGACUUAAAUUGGUUUGUAGGGAGUAUACUACACAAAUAGGCUGAUCACAUGCAUACCUAUGGAUAAAACAGAUUCAGCAAUUUUGCCGUUUUGAGCAAUUUUUUAUUAAUGUGACCAAGGAAAAGCUUCAUUUUAAUCAGCAUGUUUUCAAAAUGGAGUAGAAAGAGUACAAGAAGGAGGAGAUCGAUUGGAGUUACAUUGAAUUUGUUGACAAUCAAGAUAUUCUAGAUCUCAAAGGUUCAUAGUUUUAUUCUAGAUCUCAAAGAAAUUAGGCUAUUUUCACAUUUGUUUUAGUGUAAUAGGCAAUUUUCACAUUUUAAUUUUGUAUUUGAUCAUGUAAACAUAUUGAAGAAAUAAAAAAAUUGACUUAUUGGACCAAUUUUAGUGUUUAAAUAUCUUGGAUUUAAUUUGUAAAGUAGGUGUAGAAUAUGUAAUUGAAGAAAAAAAAUUUAAUUCAAUAUUUUGUACAUUUAAAUGUUA